CGAGAGUCUUUUUAAUCCGGAGCUGAAUCAGUAUUCGGUCAUCAUAUUGGAUGAAGCUCAUGAGAGGAGUUUGAACACGGAUAUAUUGCUAGGUCUAAUGAAAAGAUUAAUCAAAUGGCGUCACUCAAACUUGAAAGUCUUGAUCACAUCAGCAACUCUUGAUGGUGGAAAGGUAUCUAGGUUCUUCUCUGACUGCCCCGUCCUUACUGUACCAGGAGAGUUAUUUCCCGUGGAAAUAGUACACAUCUCAGAGCCUCCUAAAAGCUAUGUCGAAGCUUCUUUAAAAAAAGCUAUUGAUAUUCACGUACGGGAGCCAGAAGGAGACAUUUUAAUAUUUAUGACAGGGCAGGAUGACAUAGAGAAGUUGGUACUGAAGUUGGAGGAGAGAGUUCAAAGUUUAGAAGAAGGUUCUUG
rnacentral:misc_RNA from 1 species